AUUGAACGCUGGCGGCAUGCUUUACACAUGCAAGUCGAACGGCAGCACGGGGGCAACCCUGGUGGCGAGUGGCGAACGGGUGAGUAACACAUCGGAACGUGUCCAGUUGUGGGGGAUAACCCAUCGAAAGGUGGGCUAAUACCGCAUGAGCUGGCAACAGGAAAGCGGGGGACCCGCAAGGGCCUUGUGCGAUUGGAGCGGCCGAUGUCCGAUUAGCUAGUUGGUGGGGUAAAGCCUACCAAGGCUUCGAUCGGUAGCUGGUCUGAGAGGAUGAUCAGCCACACUGGGACUGAGACACGGCCCAGACUCCUACGGGAGGCAGCAGUGGGGAAUUUUGGACAAUGGGGGCAACCCUGAUCCAGCCAUGCCGCGUGAGUGAAGAAGGCCG
rnacentral:rRNA from 1 species